UACGUAGGGUGCGAGCGUUGUCCGGAAUUAUUGGGCGUAAAGAGCUCGUAGGCGGCUUGUCGCGUCGAAUGUGAAAACCUGCGGCUCAACUGCAGGCUUGCAUUCGAUACGGGCAGGCUCGAGUUCGGUAGGGGAGACUGGAAUUCCUGGUGUAGCGGUGAAAUGCGCAGAUAUCAGGAGGAACACCGGUGGCGAAGGCGGGUCUCUGGGCCGAUACUGACGCUGAGGAGCGAAAGCGUGGGGAGCGAACAGG
rnacentral:rRNA from 1 species